rnacentral:rRNA from 1 species
GACGAACCGUGCGAACGUUGUUCGGAAUCACUGGGCUUAAAGGGCGCGUAGGCGGUUUGCCAAGUCAGGGGUGAAAUCCUGCAGCUCAACUGUAGAAGUGCCUUUGAUACUGGCGAACUCGAGGGAGGUAGGGGUGGGUGGAACUUCUGGUGGAGCGGUGAAAUGCGUUGAUAUCAGAAGGAACGCCGGUGGCGAAAGCGACCCACUGGACCUCUUCUAACGCUGAGGCGCGAAAGCUAGGGGAGCAAACGGG